rnacentral:rRNA from 1 species
UACAGAGGGGGCAAGCGUUGUUCGGAAUUACUGGGCGUAAAGGGCGCGUAGGCGGCCUUCUAAGUCGAACGUGAAAUCCCUGGGCUCAACCCAGGAACUGCGUCCGAUACUGGAAGGCUUGAAUCCGGGAGAGGGAUGCGGAAUUCCAGGUGUAGCGGCGAAAUGCGUAGAUAUCUGGAGGAACACCGGUGGCGAAGGCGGCAUCCUGGACCAACACUGACGCUGAGGCGCGAAAGCGUGGGGAGCGAACAGG